GGCCUAACACAUGCAAGUCGAACGGCAGCACGGAGCUUGCUCUGGUGGCGAGUGGCGAACGGGUGAGUAAUAUAUCGGAACGUACCCUGGAGUGGGGGAUAACGUAGCGAAAGUUACGCUAAUACCGCAUACGAUCUACGGAUGAAAGUGGGGGAUCGCAAGACCUCAUGCUCGUGGAGCGGCCGAUAUCUGAUUAGCUAGUUGGUAGGGUAAAAGCCUACCAAGGCAUCGAUCAGUAGCUGGUCUGAGAGGACGACCAGCCACACUGGAACUGAGACACGGUCCAGACUCCUACGGGAGGCAGCAGUGGGGAAUUUUGGACAAUGGGCGCAAGCCUGAUCCAGCAAUGCCGCGUGAGUGAAGAAGGCCUUCGGGUUGUAAAGCUCUUUUGUCAGGGAAGAAACGGUGGAGGCUAAUAUCCUCUGCUAAUGACGGUACCUGAAGAAUAAG
rnacentral:rRNA from 1 species